CCGCUCACCAGCGCUCGGUCCCUCCGUGAGCAAGAGAAACAGGACUGGUUUGGGGGCGUCCCAUCUGAGUGGACCUGGGAAGCCACGGCUCUCAGUACAACA
ensembl:scaRNA small Cajal body-specific RNA 23